rnacentral:rRNA from 1 species
AACGAACGCUGGCGGCAGGCUUAACACAUGCAAGUCGAACGGUUGUAGCAAUACAGCAGUGGCAGACGGGUGAGUAACACGUGGGAACCUUCCUAGGGGUACGGAACAACUCAGGGAAACUUGAGCUAAUACCGUAUACGUCCGUGAGGAGAAAGAUUUAUCGCCCUUAGACGGGCCCGCGUCGGAUUAGCUAGUUGGUGGGGUAACGGCCUACCAAGGCGACGAUCCGUAGCUGAUCUUAGAGGAUGAUCAGCCACACUGGGACUGUGACACGGCCCAGACUCCUACGGGAGGCAGCAGUGGUGAAUCUUGGACAAUGGGCGCAAGCCUGAUCCAGCCAUGCCGCGUGAGUGAAGAAGGUCGUCGGAUUGUAAAGCUCUUUUGCCAGGGACGAUAAUGACGGUACCUGGAGAAUAAGCCCCGGCAAACUUCGUGCCAGCCGCCGCGGUAA